GAAUUGCGAAAAGUAAUGUGAAUUGCAUAAUUCCGUGAAUCAUCAAAUCUUUGAACGCACCUUGCGCUAGCUGGAAUUCCGGCUAGCAUACCUGUUUGAGUAUCAUAUAAAAAUCACCAAUGGUGGAUAUGGGCAAUGUAGUAUACUUGCCUUAAAGAUAUAGUACCAAUGGGCACUCAAUAGAGCUAAAUACACUAUUGAAAUUGUCUACACAUUACUGAUCUCAAAUCAGGUGGGAUUACCCGCUGAACUUAA
rnacentral:misc_RNA from 1 species